GUUCCUUCCCACUGUAUUGAGGUUUUUUCUUUUUAAUUGUAGACUUUCUACCUUACAAUCUAUACCACCUCGAGGAGAAUGUUGUUGUGAUUCAGCUCUGCAUAAAUACAAUUAAAUCGAAUUAAGUGGGUUCAGCUAAUUUGUGAAAUAAAUGUGAGUGACACGGUAAGUAAUAGCCUGCAUGUAACUCAUUGUAAGAAGAGCAAUAUCGCCCCCUCCUGGUUCAACUUUUUUUUCUUUGCAGUAAUCUUUCCAAUAAUAAUACAUAUGCACUAACCUCAUGCUUGCUGUUAACAAUAGCCUAAAGACAUAAAAUCAAGUUUAGUUUUUUCUUUAAGUUUAUGUUUUUUAUAUGGUUGGCAUUUAUUUUGUUUCUUUUUAAUAAUUAUAUUGAUUCUAUUGAUUGUUUGCCAAGCACUGAGGUCUCUGCUUAGACUGUGCUACUGGGAUCACUGAUUUAAAAAUGAGGCAAAAGCACCAAAGUUGUGCUCAAAAACAGUACAGUGAGCUACAACCUGUUGCUGUAGUAAUUCUAACACACUUAUUGUUUUUAAAUACAUACAUGUUUAGUUUUUUUAAACCUAAUUAUAUAAUCUUUUUUUGCAAAAGUGUCACCUAAACACCCAAAUAUACGUAAUUCAAAACUUACUUUAAUUAUUACCCAUUUGGCUGGUAACAUGGACCCAGUCUGAUGGAUAGUUACUGAACAGAUAGUCUUUUCUUUAAAGGCUGCAGUCAAAGCAAAUCAUUGUAAAAACAAGACAAGUCAAUAAAAAACAAGUAAUAACUAUAAUAUUAAACUACAAUAGAGAGAAAAUCCAGUAAAUAUAAUUAUAUUAUGUAAAAAAAUAUACAAAUAUUUACCUCUAAUUUAAAAAGACAUUACAAGGGUACUAGUUUCAUUUUAAUCUAAACAUAAUCUAAAUUGACACUAAAUCAGUUUAAAUAUUACAGCUGAAGGUGAUUUUAAUAAAUGUACUGCUGCUUGACUUUGUUUUACUACUGCAGUAUAAUUUAUCAUGUACAAAAGCUCCAAAUGUUGUUUCUCUGACUUAAUGUUCUGAUGACGUUUGUGUUAUUUUGCAGGAAAUAGUCAGGACCCAGAUGAACCUGUGCUGGAAUUCAGUGUGGGCUAGGGCCUAUUAUAUGCUGUAGCCUGAAGGCAGCUGAGUUGCAGAGGAUGGAGUGAUCACUGGCUUUCUACUUACAGGGUGGUGGGUCUCAGAGGACAAUUGCUACCCCUGUUGAAGUGAACAACGUGUGGAGUGCAACUGGCUUUGUGGCAUAGCUGGCUCUGGCCUUGGACUGUGUGUUUUUACUUUGUACCUAAAUGGGACACUGGACUUGUAACUAUUAUUCAUUGUGUUUAUAAAUA
ensembl:lncRNA